UACGAAGGGGGCUAGCGUUGCUCGGAAUUACUGGGCGUAAAGCGCACGUAGGCGGAUUGUUAAGUCGGGGGUGAAAUCCUGGAGCUCAACUCCAGAACUGCCUUCGAUACUGGCGAUCUCGAGUUCGGGAGAGGUGAGUGGAACUGCGAGUGUAGAGGUGAAAUUCGUAGAUAUUCGCAAGAACACCAGUGGCGAAGGCGGCUCACUGGCCCGAUACUGACGCUGAGACGCGAAAGCGUGGGGAGCGAACAGG
rnacentral:rRNA from 1 species